rnacentral:piRNA from 2 species
UGGCAAAUACCGACUGCAUCUGGUUC